AGUUGGGAAUCUUGGACAAUGGGGGAAACCCUGAUCCAGCCAUGCCGCGUGAGUGAUGAAGGCCUUCGGGUUGUAAAACUCUUUCGACGGGGACGAUAAUGACGGUACCCGUAGAAGAAGCUCCGGCUAACUUCGUGCCAGCAGCCGCGGUAAUACGAAGGGGGCUAGCGUUGUUCGGAAUUACUGGGCGUAAAGCGCGCGCAGGCGGCUAUCCAAGUCAGUGGUGAAAGCCCGGAGCUCAACUCCGGAACUGCCAUUGAAACUGUUUAGCUUGAGGACGAGAGAGGUGAGUGGAAUUCCCAGUGUAGAGGUGAAAUUCGUAGAUAUUGGGAAGAACACCGGUGGCGAAGGCGGCUCACUGGCUCGUAUCUGACGCUCAGGCGCGAUAGCGUGGGGAUCAAA
rnacentral:rRNA from 1 species